rnacentral:rRNA from 1 species
UACAGAGGGGGCAAGCGUUGUUCGGAAUUACUGGGCGUAAAGGGCGCGUAGGCGGCCUUCUAAGUCGAACGUGAAAUCCCCGGGCUCAACCCGGGAACUGCGUCCGAUACUGGAAGGCUUGAAUUCGGGAGAGGGAUGCGGAAUUCCAGGUGUAGCGGUGAAAUGCGUAGAUAUCAGGAGGAACACCAGCGGCGAAGGCGGCGCUCUGGGCCGGUACUGACACUGAGGAGCGAAAGCGUGGGGAUCAAACAGG